AGAGCUCAAUGAUUCGAUUCAGAGGUUGACCAUGGUGUCCACGAUGUACAAGGAGGCGGCCGCCACUUGCGGCGACGGGGAGCACUACUCGCGGCUCAUCCGGGAGCUGUGCGCGCUGCUCGCCGCCAUCAUCUCCCCCUCCUCCUCCUCCUCCACCGCGGCGGCGGCGAGGUCUCCGGGGAUGUCGCCCGCGGCGGCGGCGACGAUGCUGCUCGGCGCGUCGGUGGCGCUGAUGCUGUGCGGGUCGGUGACGUUCGCGAUCGGGCUCCUCCUCAUGCCGUGGGUCGCCGGCGUCGCGCUGCUGUUCGGCCUCUCCGCCGCCGUCUCCACCCUCUCCUCCGGCGUCUUCGGCAAGGCCGCCGCCGCCGCCUCUUCUCCGGUGAGCCACGCUUCUUCGGAUAAUAAGCCUGUAUUAGUGGUAGCUUAGGAGAUUGAUCAUUAGCCUUUAAUUGGUUGGUGAUCCCUUUGUAAAAAGAAAA
rnacentral:lncRNA from 1 species